GUGGCCUCGUGGUUAGAGCGUCCGCCUCAGAUGCGGGAGGUCGUGGGUUCAAUUCCCGGUCAAGUCA